rnacentral:rRNA from 1 species
AGCCGCGGUAAUUCCAGCUCCAAUAGCGUAUAUUAAAGUUGUUGCAGUUAAAAAGCUCGUAGUUGGAUUUCUGUUAAUAAUUUAUAUAUAAUAUUUAACAUAUUUAUAUAAUAUUAACAUAAUUCAUAUUACUAUUUAUAGUAUAUGAAACUUUACUUUGAGAAAAUUAGAGUGCUUAAAGCAGGCUUUUGCCUUGAAUACUAGAGCAUGGAAUAAUAUUAAAGAUUUUUAUCUUUCUUAUUGGUUCUAAGAUAGAAAUAAUGAUUAAUAGGGACAGUUGGGGGCAUUUGUAUUUAACAGUUAGAGGUGAAAUUCUUAGAUUUGUUAAAGACAAACUAAUGCGAAAGCAUUUGCCAAGGAUGUUUUCAUUAAUCAAGGACGAAAGUUAGGGGAUCGAAGACGAUCAGAUACCGUCGUAGUCUUAACCAUAAACCAUGCCAACUAG